rnacentral:rRNA from 1 species
AUUGAACGCUGGCGGCAGGCCUAACACAUGCAAGUCGAGCGGGGUUUUCGGACCUAGCGGCGGACGGGUGAGUAAUGCGUAGGAAGCUGCCCGAUAGAGGGGGAUACCAGUUGGAAACGACGGUUCAUACCGCAUAAUGACUACGGACCAAAGUGUGGGACCUUCGGGCCACAUGCUAUCGGAUGCGUCAACGUGGGAUUAGCUAGUCUGUGAGGUAAUGGCUCACAAAGGCGACGAUCUCUAGCUGGUUUGAGAGGAUUAUUACAGCCACACUGGAACUGAGACACGGUCCAGACUCCUACGGGAGGCAGCAGUGGGGAAUAUUGGACAAUGGGCGCAAGCCUGAUCCAGCCAUGCCGCGUGUGUGAAGAAGGCCUUCGGGUUGUAAAGCACUUUCAGCGAGGAGGAAGGGGUGUGUGAAUAGUACACACCUUUGACGUUACUCGCAGAAGAAGCACCGGCUAACUCUGUGCCAGCCGCCGCUGUAAAAC